CUUGACCGACCCCAGCCACAGCGGGCGGUCCCGGUCCUGCCCGUAGGUCGCCAGCAACGCCUCGGCCUC
rnacentral:antisense_RNA from 1 species